rnacentral:rRNA from 1 species
UACGGGGGGGGGCAAGCGUUGUUCGGAAUUACUGGGCGUAAAGGGCUCGUAGGCGGCCAACUAAGUCAUACGUGAAAUCCCCCGGCUUAACCGGGGAACUGCGUCUGAUACUGGAUGGCUUGAGUUCGGGAGAGGGAUGCGGAAUUCCAGGUGUAGCGGUGAAAUGCGUAGAUAUCUGGAGGAACACCGGUGGCGAAGGCGGGUCUCUGGGCAGUAACUGACGCUGAGGAGCGAAAGCGUGGGGAGCGAACAGG